GAGAUAUAACCACAGGUUCAGAACACCCUGUUAUAAAGGAGCUGAACAUCCUUGGAGCAACACAUGACAUCUAGAACUCUACAUGGUCCAAGGUCUGUCUCACAAGGAGGACUGUGUAAUUAAAGCUAACUACAAACUAAGCUGAUUCUACUGUCAGAUUUGGUCCAAACCUACUUUUCUUUUAACAACCUGGUAACCAAGUGCCAUACAAGAUACACUGAACUCAAAUCUACAGAGACUAUCAAUCCUUGAACAGCAAGUUCAGAGCAGUUGAAUAUGACAAUAGCCAUGUAGGAUGUGCCUGCUUCCCCUCUGCCAUGAUUUUAAGUUUCCUGAGGCUCCCCCAGUCAUCUUUCCUGUACAGCCUAUGGAACCAUGAGCCAGUUAAACCUCUUUUCUUUAUAAAAUGCCAAGUCUCAGCUUUAAUGCUAUCAAUGAGAACAAGAAUAUUUGGCUUAUCUUCAACAUCUUCAUACCAUCAGAUAACUCCAAAGUUAACACAGGAUACGUCAUCCACAUUGCUGCCAGAGCAUUCUCUCUGAAAUGAUUAUCUGAUCAUCAUCCUCUCUUCUUCUCCACAAGCUCAAACACUUUCAGUGACUGAUUUGAAACCAGUUGUACCGUAUUAUUAGGAAAGGCGCCUUGAUGAAAAGAU
rnacentral:lncRNA from 1 species